rnacentral:rRNA from 1 species
AUUGAACGCUGGCGGCAUGCCUUACACAUGCAAGUCGAACGGCAGCGCGGGGGCAACCUGGCGGCGAGUGGCGGACGGGUGAGUAAAAUAUCGGAACAUACCCUAGAGUGGGGGAUAACGUAGCGAAAGUUACGCUAAUACCGCAUACGCACUAAGGUGGAAAGUGGGGGAUCUUCGGACCUCAUGCUCAUGGAGUGGCCGAUAUCUGAUUAGCUAGUUGGUGAGGUAAAAGGCUCACCAAGGCGACGAUCAGUAGCUGGUUUGAGAGAACGACCAGCCACACUGGAACUGAGACACGGUCCAGACUCCUACGGAGG